AAUGAGGUUGUUGUAAAAGCUAAAAAUAGUGGGAGAAAAGUCCUUCUGUGAACACUAAACAACAAUAACCCACCUCCCUCUGCCUCAGAAAGCUCCAAAGCUGUAUGCCCUUUGCUAGAGGCUGGAGAUGCAUGAUGUGCUAUGUGCUUUUCUAACUCUUAUAUUCUUCUGUUGGCUGUUACAAAACCAGGAUAUUGGGCUGGUGGACUUUAGCCUUGAACUCUUGUGACCACUCAUACGUGGGUAUUAUCCUAAAUUGGACAUAACUGAGUGAAGGCUGUGUUGCCAGCAGCAGAAGCCAGAUCUAAAGAAAGGAGACAAGUGCCUUGCUGUAUGGAUGUCAGAUUCCACUGGAAGUCAGCAAGUGAACCCCUGAUCUGGUCAGAGCUGUUGGUGGAGUGGUAUAAGCCUCCCGUGGAUGAAACACACCCAGCCAAACGCAGUCCAAGUGUCCUUACCUGUGCAGCUCCUCUUGUAGCAAAGGUAGCAGUUGCAGCUACGAAAAUGGAGCCCCUCCCAGAGCUGAGCCCAGGCCUGGGGAGAACACAGAUCACCAGGACUUCUGCUGGCUGGGCUCUGCUGUGCACUCCUUUGGCCUUCCCUUCCACCAGGGAGCUGUAGCAUCCAGUGUCCUCACCUGUGCAAGACUCCUCCUAUGUGCUCUCCUAACACCCCCGCUCCCAGAACAGCCCCUGCUGCUGGUUUCUCCAGAAGAGCGGGGUUCACGCCCCAUCCAGGCCUCCUUAGGGGGUUGAAGCACUGCUG
rnacentral:lncRNA from 1 species